UGGGGAAUAUUGCACAAUGGGCGCAAGCCUGAUGCAGCCAUGCCGCGUGUGUGAAGAAGGCCUUCGGGUUGUAAAGCACUUUCAGCGAGGAGGAAGGUGGUGAGCUUAAUACGCUCAUCAAUUGACGUUACUCGCAGAAGAAGCACCGGCUAACUCCGUGCCAGCAGCCGCGGUAAUACGGAGGGUGCAAGCGUUAAUCGGAAUUACUGGGCGUAAAGCGCACGCAGGCGGUUUGUUAAGUCAGAUGUGAAAUCCCCGGGCUCAACCUGGGAACUGCAUUUGAAACUGGCAAGCUAGAGUCUCGUAGAGGGGGGUAGAAUUCCAGGUGUAGCGGUGAAAUGCGUAGAGAUCUGGAGGAAUACCGGUGGCGAAGGCGGCCCCCCUGGACGAAGACUGACGCUCAGGUGCGAAAAGCGUGGGGAGCAAAACAGGAUUAGAUACCCUGGUAGUCCACGCUGUAAAACGAUGUCGAUUUGGAGGUUGUGCCCUUGAGGCGUGGCUUCCGGAGCUAACGCGUUAAAUCGACCGCC
rnacentral:rRNA from 1 species